GCGGGGCGCAAAGCAUUGUGGGUCCUGGGCUUCCGUGGCCUCCGGCCUCUUCCCUUGGGCGGGGAUGGCGACGGUGCUGUGACUUUCCGGCCGCCGCGCCCCACCCCCCCGGCCCGGUGCCGCGUACACAGUGGGCGCUCAGUACCCGAGGACGACGGGACCGAUCGGCCGUGGUUCAGCCCUCUGGGGACCCAGAUCCGAAGCGGGACCCGGCGAGAGCGGGUCCGCUCCGAAAGCACCGCGCGCCCAGCAGGUGCCGGGCGGGCUGCAAGGGCGGGAGAUGCCAGCGCUGAGAAGACACGCAGCGGCGUCCUCGGCGGGUCUGCGUGUGUGCGGCCACCGGCAACACUGACUCCCUUCAGAGCUCGUGACUCGGUGCUGCCAACUCCCCUGAACUCCAGGCCCACAUUUGGACAUGAGACACAUCGUCGUGGGUAUGUACAGAACAGGGGUCCUGGCCUCCCCCGCCCCACCUCCCCUCACUGCCUGCCUUCUGCUUCAGUUAAGGCCACACCAUGCUUCCAGGCACAGAAGUCAGACCUUGAAGCCACCCUGCCUCCUCAUUCCCUACAUCUGGUCCUUGAGUGAAUUCUGUUGGCUCUCCCUUCAAAGUAUAUCCGGAACUGUGUUUGACUUGUUCCAGACUGCCACCCUGAUCCUGCUCUAGAUUUCAAAAGGCUGUAAGAAAUAGUAACUAACUGCAACGCAAAACGAAAAUACACGUAAAAAGACGUUUG